rnacentral:rRNA from 1 species
GACGAACGCUGGCGGCGUGCCUAAUACAUGCAAGUUGAGCGCUGAAGGUUGGUACUUGUACCAACUGGAUGAGCAGCGAACGGGUGAUUAACGCGUGGGGAAUCUGCCUUUGAGCGGGGGACACCAUUUGGAAACGAAUGCUAAUACCGCAUAAAAACUUUAAACACAAUUUUUACGUUUUAAAGAUGCAAUUGCAUCACUCAAAGAUGAUCCCGCGUUGUAUUAGCUAGUUGGUGAGGUAAAGGCUCACCAAGGCGUUGAUACAUAGCCGACCUGAGAGGGGGAGAGGCCAAACUGGGACGGAGACACGGCCAAAACUACUACGGGAGGCAGCAGUAGGGAAUCUUUGGCAAAGGACGAAAGGCGGAACGAGCAACGCCGGGUGAGUGAAGAAGGGUUUAGGAUCGUAAAACUCUGUUGGUAGAGAAGAACGUUGGGGAGAGUGGAAAGCUCAUCAAGUGACGGUAACGACCCAGAAAGGGACGGCUAACUACGUG